rnacentral:piRNA from 1 species
UUCGCCAGGAAAUAUGGCCGAUGCAUGGAC